rnacentral:lncRNA from 1 species
GUUUCCAAACAGCUUUCAAGUUUCUGGCUUGAGCCACUGGGGCGGGGGAUGAAGGGGGUGUUUGUUGGGACAGGCUUCUUUCCCCAGGAAGCCUGGAGACCUGCCCACCACCAUCUCUGAGCAAAACCGACUUCCAAGUCUCAAACCACAGAUCCAGCAACAAACUUUUGAAAUGAGACCCAUAUACAAAUUGCAAAUAGCCUUUGCUUUUCUCAUUUUAUUAAUAGCAGGUAUUUUCCAACCAAGUUGGCUCCCGAUAACCACGCCUGGGUCUCAGAUAUCCACACACUCGAGAAGCAAAACAAAAUAAGGGGGAAAAAUACCUCCCUCCCAGCUCUGCUUUGUUUUGUUUUGUUCCUAGUUCUUGCUGACUAAAACUAAACGCUGCCAUAUGUUCAGAAAAUGUCCGACGUUUGCAUGUUUGGGGUUUCUUUUUUUUUUUUAGUCAGUGAGUUUUAUCUGGGCGAGUCACAGAGCCCUCAGCUAAGUCACCCUGUAAUCUGCACUUCUUGAAUAACUGUGUAUUUGAGCAAUUGCAGUCAUUGCUAAGGGCUGCUGUGUAGACAAGAGGUUUGGGGGCUUUUUCCAAAUUGUUUUUUCUGGAAUGCUGGGAAAGUGACUACGUGAGUUGACUCAUGGGACCCAGUGUCUUUUGGAAACUGUAACUUUCCUUCCAGAAUAAUUAAAGAUGAGAAAGGAAGCCACUGGUAAGCAAUGUGAAUCCCAGCACCCAAAGCCUGGGUGCAUCUUCUGAAAUGAUCUGGUUGGUUGGUUUUUUAAUUGAAAAACUUGGGAAGAGCUAAAUCUGCAUGGAGCCUACUCAGGCACUUAGGACUCUGCACUGUGUCACUUACUAUUUAUAGUGUCUUGCUGGGUUGGUGCGUUAUCACAAAGUCACUACAGCUGGUUAAUACUGCUCCCCAUUUUUCACUUGUGACCGCCGACUGGUAGCUGUGGCCAUCUACCAAAUCUGCCAUCAACCAAGCUAUUGGAACUGGAAACCUCGGGGUCAACCUCGAGAUCUCACUGUCUACAUGCCACCUGUCCCUCCUGCCUGGGCCACCAUCUAUUCCUCCCCCCUUCUCAGCACCUUCCAUAUUAAUCCUGUC